CUUGCACUAUCAAACUCGGAGAAAAGUCUGUAGGUGGCCAAAGUUUGUGUUCUUCGGUGGCGGAGACAAGAGUGAGAGAAGCUUCUGGAACUCAUUGCCACAGGAUAUCUUUGCAGCCAAGAGUUCAGCAGGAUUUUAAAAAAGGAUUUAUAUGGAUAAGAAUAGCCACAGUCAUAUUAUCGAACAUAAAAUCAUUGUAUUUUGGAAGGACUAUUUAACACCCUGAAUCAGGAGAGUUUCACAACUAUCUGAUGGAGCCAAUUGGAAACUACUUAUCCACUUCAUCUGUUUCCUCCAAACUGGGACCAAUCGGCACUGCCUGACAUAGGGUACAAG